GGUUAAAAGGAUGCCUAGUCGCAGGGAGAGGCUCAGGCAGAAGCCAGACACCAGGAGGUGGUGGAGGGGCCCCUCAAAGGCCUCUGAGCUCCACAGUCUUCUGGUCGUGCUUGAGGAUAAGCUUUUUGAAGAGCUACUCGCCCAUCCAGCCUGGAGGCCGGAAGCCUGCAGAGGUGAGUCAGGUGUCACCCAUGUUCUCGAUGAAUUUCACCUGCUCAUCCAGAAAGUGAUUCUCCAGGAAGUGACAGAGCUAAGGAUCUGUUUGGGCAGAACCCAGGGCACACAGAUCCAAAGGGCCCGGUUCAGGUUCUUCUCCAGGACCACGGCGCUCCCAGGGCACCCCGAGUUUCGCCCCGCUCAUUGGUCCAGCAGGUCUGGAAGAGGGCGAGGCCGCUGCGCUGGUUUUACAUCUUCCAGAGACGCCCGGCGCCUUCACGCUUCUCCUUGGCCAGCUCUCAGAGGAGGUGGCCCACGCCCUUCAGAGCCACAUCAUCGAGGUGGAAAUAGAAGCCAGAGAGAGCUUGGGAGGACAUCCCCGAGACAAGAGCGCAUACUCCGAACAAUAGCUCUUGACGACACAGGACAACACUGUCUGGAAGAACAGACCUCAGAGACUCCUAAUAAAGGCGUGAUGCAGUCAAGUCAGACUCUGCGUGUGCAGAAGUUUCAGGAACAUCUUCGCUAAAUUAUUUUGGUCAUAGUUUCCUUUUUAUGUAUGCGCCAUAGGAAUAGAUGAUAAAAGUGUCCAAGUUUAAAAGAACACCUUCCAUGAGUAUAAAAUAAAGUUUCUAAAUGAUAAA